UUGAUUAUUUUUGGUAGAAGAAAUAUCCCUGAACAAUCUGAACUGUAGUUUCUUCCGCUUCAAAGUCUCCCCUUUCCGCUUCAUUCUUCCGGAUCCAAGAAGCAAAAUCGAAGAAUCCGAGCCAUAUCCCAUGCGAAUGAUCUCCCCGACUCGCUGCCAAUGGAGAAAUCCAGUUUCUCCACGAUUCCAAUGGAGAAUCCGAGCCAUAUUCCCCUCUUUGCGGUC
rnacentral:lncRNA from 1 species